UACAGAGGGGGCAAGCGUUGUUCGGAAUUACUGGGCGUAAAGGGCGCGUAGGCGGCCUGUUAAGCCAGACGUGAAAUCCCUCGGCUCAACCGGGGAACUGCGUCUGAUACUGGCGGGCUUGAAUUCGGGAGAGGGAUGUGGAAUUCCAGGUGUAGCGGUGAAAUGCGUAGAUAUCUGGAGGAACACCGGUGGCGAAGGCGGCAUCCUGGACCGACAUUGACGCUGAGGCGCGAAAGCCAGGGGAGCAAACGGG
rnacentral:rRNA from 1 species